GACGAACGCUGGCGGCGUGCUUAACACAUGCAAGUCGAACGGAAAGGCCUCUUUCGGGGGGUACUCGAGUGGCGAACGGGUGAGUAACACGUGAGUAACCUGCCCUUGACUUUGGGAUAACUUCAGGAAACUGGGGCUAAUACCGGAUAGGAGCUCCUGCUGCAUGGUGGGGGUUGGAAAGUUUCGGCGGUUGGGGAUGGACUCGCGGCUUAUCAGCUUGUUGGUGGGGUAGUGGCUUACCAAGGCUUUGACGGGUAGCCGGCCUGAGAGGGUGACCGGCCCCCUUGGGGCCUGGGAUACGGCCCGGACCCCUCCGGAGGCAGCAGUGGGGAAUAUUGCACAAUGGGCGGAAGCCUGAUGCAGCAACGCCGCGUGCGGGAUGACGGCCUUCGGGUUGUAAACCGCUUUCGCCUGUGACGAAGCGUGAGUGACGGUAAUGGGUAAAGAAGCACCGGCUAACUACGUG
rnacentral:rRNA from 1 species